rnacentral:rRNA from 1 species
UACGGAGGGUGCAAGCGUUGUCCGGAAUCACUGGGCGUAAAGGGCGCGUAGGCGGCCUGAUAAGUAGGGGGUGAAAUCCUGCGGCUUAACCGCAGGGCUGCCUUCUAAACUGUCAGGCUAGAGCACAGUAGAGGCAGGUGGAAUUCCCGGUGUAGCGGUGGAAUGCGUAGAGAUCGGGAAGAACAUCAGUGGCGAAGGCGGCCUGCUGGGCUGUUGCUGACGCUGAGGCGCGACAGCGUGGGGAGCAAACAGG